UACAGAGACUGCAAGCGUUAUUCGGAUUCACUGGGCGUAAAGGGUGCGCAGGCGGCCAAGUGUGUCAGGUGUGAAAUCCCGAGGCUUAACCUCGGAACUGCGCCUGAAACUACUUGGCUAGAGUACUGGAGAGGGUAACGGAAUUCACGGUGUAGCAGUGAAAUUCGUAGAUAUCGGGAGGAACACCGGUGGCGAAGGCGGCGAUCUGGGUAGAUACUGACGCUGAGGUGCGAAAGCGUGGGGAGCAAACAGG
rnacentral:rRNA from 1 species